UGCCAGUGCAUUUACUGUUAUUUUACACACUUAUUUCUCUAAAUAUUAUUUCUUGUACGUUAUAUUAUUUACUACAAAGUCAAUAAAAGUCACUUUAUUAUACUGUAGAGUGGAAUUUUCAACACGAGCAGAGAUCAACAUCCCAUAAUGCAAUUCACAGCUGGAAAUAAACACUUGUGAAUCACAAAAUACAGAAACUGUUCAUUAACUGAUAUCGUUUACAGUGUAGUUAACUUUCAGGCAUGAAGGUCAAGCAAAUAAACUCAAAACUAAUCCCAUUUUCAUUUUAAAAAAAUAAUUAAUUUCUGUUGACUGAUGGUGAAAUAAUACGUCAGCAUGUAGUCCAUAAAAAAGUAACUGUAGUCUAAUUAAGUGUUGUUAUUUUGUAAAUGUGAUGUACACUAAUUACAAGUGUUUUGUAAUCAGAUUAUGUACUAGCACUGGUUUAUUUACUGUAGCCAUUGACAAAGUAAUCACGUUGUGGUAAUUCUGUCUUUAAUCCAUUUGCACUGACUGUAGCAAUACAAAACUGUGUGUGGAAAUACUUACAGUAGUUAUUUUAGCGAUAAUAAGAAAUAUAAGCGUUGCAGGUUUUGCCUGUAGAGGUAAUCUAACGUGAUUGUAUUUUUGAUAGUUGUUUUUUUGGAUGUUUUCUAAAGAGGUUUGUAGCUGGUUGUUAUACAAGAUAACACGCGUGUACUGAUAUUUUUAUUUUUUGGUGAAACUGCAGUAUAAAUUAACAUCAUAGAUGUACAUGGAAAUGUUAAUAUUGAAAAAUGUUAUUUAUAUAGAUUUAGAUUUGUUGGUGAUCAUUAGUACAGACACACAAGGAAAUCUUUACUGUUUAUAUUUACUACGAUUUACCUAGUUUUAUAAAGUCUAGUUGAAGUGUUUUGUAAUAUUUCUAUACUAUUAAAUAGAAAUAAAUACCUUGAAUUAUGGAAGCCCGUUCCCGACUCUGAAUAAAAAAACAGGUCAUUGCUAUUUUUUUUUCUCUGUAUCGCAUGAUGCAAAUUCACAAUUGUGACCUUUAUUUUCCCUCAGAUUUGUGAGAUUAGAUUCAAGAUUUAGAUUUAACUUUAUUGUUAUUACACACGUACAAGUACAAGGCAAUGAAUGCAGUUUCGCAAUCGCGAGAUAUAAACUCAGAUUUCUGAAAAAUAAAGUCACAAUUGUGUGGUAGAAAUUCGCAAUGCUGAGAAAUAAAGUUACAACUGCGUGAUAUAGAGCCAGAAUUUGGAGUUUAAAAAAAAAAAAAAAACUCAAUUGUGAGUUAUAAAGUCAGAGUUUAGAGAUAAAAAAAGUCACAAUUCCAUAAUAUAAAGUCAAAAAUUGGCGAAAUAGUCACAAUUGCGUGAUAUAAAUAUCAAAUUCAGAGAAAUAAAGUCCGAAUUCGGAGAUGAAAUGUCAUUCUGUGUCAAUGUCAGAAUUUGGUGAAAAAGUUGCAAUGAUAUAAAGUCAGAUCUCAGAGAAAUAAAGUCAGAAUUCACAGAUUUAAAAAAAAUCUAAGUUUCGAGGUUUAAAGUUAGAAUUCUGCCUUCAUAUCUUGCAAUUUUGAGACUUAAGAGUUGCAAUUGUGAGUUAUUUGUAAGUUUAUUUUUCUCAGAACUUGAAAUUGCAGAACUGCAAGAUAUAAACUCCGAAUUUGGAGAUUAAAAGUCGCAAUUUCAUGAUAUAAAGUCGCAUUUUGGUGAGGUAAAGUUGCAAUUGCAUGUUAUAAAGUCAUAAUUUGGAGAUAAAAAUCACAACUGUGUGAUAUAAUGUCAGAAUUUGAAGAUAAAUGUGCAAUUCACAGAUAUAAAGUCAGAAUUCGGAGAUUAAAAAGUCACAAUUGUAUGUCAAAGUCAGAAUUUAGAGAAAUCAGGUCACAAUUGAAUGAUGUAAAGUCAGAAUUUAGAGAAAUAAAGUCGCAGUUUUGAGCUUUAAAGUCAGAAUUCAGAGAUACGAAAGUCGCAAUUCUGAGAAAUAAAGUCACAAUUGUGAGUUUUAAAGCCAGAAUCUGGAGAUAAAGCCCCAACUGCAUGAUAUUAAGUCAGGAUUCGGAUAUAAAAAGUUGCAAUUGCGUGAUAUUAAGUCAGAGUUCAAGACAUAAAAAGUCAGAAUUCUGAGCAGAAGUCGCAAUAAAUUCAGAAUUCAAGCAUAAAAUGUCAAAUUGGAGUUACAGAGUCAGAAAUCUGGGAUAAAAAGUCACAAUUGUGUGAUAUAAAGUCAGAAUUUGGAGAAAUGAAGUCGCAACUACAUAUUAUAAAUUCAGAAUUUGGAGAUAAAAGUUGCUAUUGCGAGUUAUAAAGUCAGAACUGUAAGUUUUAAAGUAAUUUCCUGUUAAAGAGACUGACCUUAGAUGGACAAUGGACAGAAAAAAAAGUCUAAAUUGUGAGUUUGCAUCGUGCGAUUCUAAGAUAAAAAGUUGCAAUAACCAUUUUUUUAUUGAUUUAUUCAGAUUCAGGAAGAAGCGUCCAUAUAGAAUAGAUAUGGUGUGUGUUUUGUGAGAGUCUGAGAGUCUAAACAAUAAUGUCUACAAGAUCUCGACACACUUUCUGUUGUACAUUUUCACUAUAUUGAUACGGUUUCUGACUUUGUAAAGCGUGUUUAUACUGAGAUCACGUUUGCUUCUGGUUUCGGAGACUGAAUGGUCAGUGCAAUGACAAAACAGUGAUGCCACUAAAUAAUAACAAUCACGAUUGAGAGUCGACAAUACAAAGCUUUCUGUUUCUGGCUUUUGUUGUAUAAUAAAAGUCUGUUCUUGUGUGCAAUAAAGAGUGCAAUAAGAGGA
ensembl:lincRNA